rnacentral:tmRNA from 2 species
GGGGAUGUAUUGAUUCGACGUGACGAGCUCUUUGACAUCUGCAAGCUCCCGUUGAUUCAUCGGGGCUAAACAGAAUCAAAACAAUAACUGUCAACAACCUUGUUGCCAGAGCAAAUGCCUUCCUUCGGGGAGCGUUUGCCCCAGCAGCGGCCCCUGCAUACGCAGUAGCCUAAGCCGGCAUCCAUCUUUGUGUUUCUCUCGGUGGACCAGGGUGGGUGUAAACAAAGCCGAGAUGCAGCAGUAACUUUCUAAGACGGGUUACUGCGAAGCUUUUGUCUUAACCCUUGCUCUUUUUGGUUGGUGGUUGACUUGAGUGAGGUUUUUCAAUCACCUACGCUUGUAGAUGAUGUUAAAUUGCCGUUGCGGACGCCGAGUCAUUCUCGGCCAUCUCCACCU